UACAGAGGGGGCUAGCGUUAUUCGGAAUUAUUGGGCGUAAAGGGCGCGUAGGCGGCUUUGCAUGUCUCCCGUGAAAUCCCUCGGCUCAACCGAGGACGUGCGGAAGAAACUGCAAGGCUCGAGUCCGGAAGAGGGGGGCGGAAUUCCCAGUGUAGCGGUGAAAUGCGUAGAUAUUGGGAGGAACACCAGUGGCGAAGGCGGUCCCCUGGGCCGGAACUGACGCUGAGGCGCGAAAGCGUGGGUAGCAAACAGG
rnacentral:rRNA from 1 species